AAAAGUACUUUGAAAAGAGAGUGCAAGAGAACGUGAAACCGACGUAAUGGAAGCGAAUGGAGUUGACGUAUCUGGUGCGUAUUCAAUCGUUGCGUCGCGCAAUUGCUGGCGUCUGCCUGUGGCGGCGUUGGUAUUGUUGCGUGGCGUGUCGAGGCAUUUGCGUACGGAGUGCGAUGGAUCGUGCGGGGGUGCGGGCUGGGCCGUGGCCGAGAGGAUCUUGCUUCGGGAAGAAAACCUUGGUGGCGGUUUGGCCGGUUGCCGCUGCGCGCUUUUGUGGACGUGCUUUUGCGUGGCGUUGUGUUCAGGCGUGUGGUGGGUUGGUUGCACAUGUGUGGCCGUCCUAUGGCGCGACUGGGCGCGGUGCGAUGCCAAGUGGUCUUUCCGUUGUAUAGUCAAUGACCCAUUCGACCCGUCUUGAAACACGGACCAAGGAGUUUAUGGUAUGCGCGAGUCAUUGGGCUCUACGAAACCCAUAGGCGAAAUGAAAGUGAGACUCUUGCGAGUUUGAAUGUGAUCGGUGCUUGUCUCGACGGGCGCCGAGCAACAUUGCCCCGUUUCUAGAACUUGUUCUGUUGCGGAGGUUGAGCGUAUGCUGUGAGACCCGAAAGAUGGUGAACUAUGCCUGAACAGGAUGAAGUCAGAGGAAACUCUGAUGGAGGUCCGAAGCGGUUCUGACGUGCAAAUCGAUCGUCUGAUUUUGGUAUAGGGGCGCAAGACUAAUCGAACCAUC
rnacentral:rRNA from 1 species